rnacentral:rRNA from 1 species
CCCUUAGAUGUCCGGGGCUGCACGCGCGCUACACUGUAGAAAGCAGCGUGCUUUAAAACCUUUCCUGAAAAGGAUGGGUAACCCCAGCAAAAUUCUACGUGCUUGGGAUAGAGAUUUGCAAUUUUCUCUCUUGAACGAGGAAUUCCCAGUAAGUGCGAGUCAUCAGCUCGCGUUGAUUACGUCCCUACCCUUUGUACACACCGCCCGUCGCUACUACCGAUUGGGAAAAUUUUAGAGAGUCCUGGACUGAUGAUUGUUCGGCUUCACGGCCUUACUUUCGUCGGGAAAGAAUUCGAUAAUAUUUUUCUAGAGGAAGUAAAAGUCGUAACA